rnacentral:rRNA from 1 species
UACGAAGGGGGCUAGCGUUGUUCGGAAUUACUGGGCGUAAAGCGUGCGCAGGCGGUUAUGUAAGACAGGUGUGAAAUCCCAAGGCUUAACCUUGGAACUGCAUCCGAUACUGGAUGGCUUGAAUUCGGGAGAGGGAUGCAGAAUUCCAGGUGUAGCGGUGAAAUGCGUAGAUAUCUGGAGGAAUACCGGUGGCGAAGGCGGCAUCCUGGACCGACAUUGACGCUGAGGAGCGAAAGCCAGGGGAGCAAACGGG